GGCUACGGCCAUAUCACGAUGAAUGCACCUCAUCCCGCCCGAUUUGAGUAGUUAAGCAUCGUCGAGCCACAUCAGUACUGAGGUUGGAGACAACUUGGGAACCUGUGGUGCUGUAGUCU
rnacentral:rRNA from 1 species